GACGAACGCUGGCGGCGUGCUUAACACAUGCAAGUCGAACGGAAAGGCCCUGCUUUUGUGGGGUGCUCGAGUGGCGAACGGGUGAGUAACACGUGAGUAACCUGCCCUUGACUUUGGGAUAACUUCAGGAAACUGGGGCUAAUACCGGAUAGGAGCUCCUGCUGCAUGGUGGGGGUUGGAAAGUUUCGGCGGUUGGGGAUGGACUCGCGGCUUAUCAGCUUGUUGGUGGGGUAGUGGCUUACCAAGGCUUUGACGGGUAGCCGGCCUGAGAGGGUGACCGGCCACAUUGGGACUGAGAUACGGCCCAGACUCCUACGGGAGGCAGCAGUGGGGAAUAUUGCACAAUGGGCGGAAGCCUGAUGCAGCAACGCCGCGUGCGGGAUGACGGCCUUCGGGUUGUAAACCGCUUUCGCCUGUGACGAAGCGUGAGUGACGGUAAUGGGUAAAGAAGCACCGGCUAACUACGUGCCAGCAGCCGCGGUGAUACGUAGGGUGCGAGCGUUGUCCGGAUUUAUUGGGCGUAAAGGGCUCGUAGGUGGUUGAUCGCGUCGGAAGUGUAAUCUUGGGGCUUAACCCUGAGCGUGCUUUCGAUACGGGUUGACUUGAGGAAGGUAGGGGAGAAUGGAAUUCCUGGUGGAGCGGUGGAAUGCGCAGAUAUCAGGAGGAACACCAGUGGCGAAGGCGGUUCUCUGGGCCUUUCCUGACGCUGAGGAGCGAAAGCGUGGGGAGCGAACAGGCUUAGAUACCCUGGUAGUCCACGCUGUAAACGGUGGGUACUAGGUGUGGGGUCCAUUCCACGGGUUCCGUGCCGUAGCUAACGCUUUAAGUACCCCGCCUGGGGAGUACGGCCGCAAGGCUAAAACUCAAAGGAAUUGACGGGGCCCCGCACAAGCGGCGGAGCAUGCGGAUUAAUUCGAUGCAACGCGUAGAACCUUGCCUGGGUUUGACAUGGAUCGGGAGUGCUCAGAGAUGGGUGUGCCUCUUUUGGGGUCGGUUCACAGGUGGUGCAUGGCUGUCGUCAGCUCGUGUCGUGAGAUGUUGGGUUAAGUCCCGCAACGAGCGCAACCCUUGUUCACUGUUGCCAGCACGUUAUGGUGGGGACUCAGUGGAGACCGCCGGGGUCAACUCGGAGGAAGGUGGGGAUGACGUCAAGUCAUCAUGCCCCUUAUGUCCAGGGCUUCACGCAUGCUACAAUGGCUGGUACAGAGAGUGGCGAGCCUGUGAGGGUGAGCGAAUCUCGGAAAGCCGGUCUCAGUUCGGAUUGGGGUCUGCAACUCGACCUCAUGAAGUCGGAGUCGCUAGUAAUCGCAGAUCAGCAACGCUGCGGUGAAUACGUUCCCGGGGCU
rnacentral:rRNA from 1 species